AUACAUAUAUAUAAUGUCUUGGUCAGUAAAGCAGAAAACCCGUCCUACGUAUAUGUCAAACCACAGCAUCUGAAUCACAGAAAGCGUGGAGCUGCCAGUGGGCUCCACCCCCACAGAUCCUGCUACUGUGCAAGUUACAAGCCUGGAACAGCUUGGACCCCUGGGGCAUGCAUCUGAUUCAUCGGAAUCACUAGGGGAAAUUUAGUGCACGGCAGAAAUCCAGUCAACACCCUUGUUCCCAAUAGUUAACAUACUGUUUGACACCACUGUGGCCAGCAGAAGAAUUAGUCCAUCUCUCUCAGACCACCCACACCACUGAUAGCUAAUAACUAACACAUGGGGAGACCAUGGCUAAUGAUCUCCUUGGGUUCAGUGGUUCCUUGUGUUUUUAUUUC
rnacentral:lncRNA from 1 species